UGGGGAAUAUUGGACAAUGGGGGCAACCCUGAUCCAGCAAUGCCGCGUGUGUGAAGAAGGCCUUAGGGUUGUAAAGCACUUUCAGUGGGGAGAAAGUUUUAAGUGUUAAUACCAUUUAAAAUUGAUGUUACCCACAGAAGAAGCACCGGCUAACUCUGUGCCAGCAGCCGCGGUAAUACAGAGGGUGCAAGCGUUAAUCGGAAUUACUGGGCGUAAAGGGUGUGUAGGUGGUUGUAUAAGUUAGAUGUGAAAUCCCCGGGCUCAACCUGGGAAUUGCGUUUAAAACUGUAUAGCUAGAGUAUUGUAGAGGAUAGUGGAAUUUCCAGUGUAGCGGUGAAAUGCGUAGAUAUUGGAAGGAACACCAGUGGCGAAGGCGACUAUCUGGGCAAAUACUGACACUGAGACACGAGAGCAUGGGGAGCAAACAGGAUUAGAUACCCCGGUAGUCC
rnacentral:rRNA from 1 species